AACGAACGCUGGCGGCAUGCCUAACACAUGCAAGUCGAACGAGACCUUCGGGUCUAGGGGCGCACGGGUUCGUAACGCGUGGGAACCGGCCCUUAGGUUCGGAAUAACUCCCCGAAAGGGGUGCUAAUACCGGAUAAUGUCUUCGGACCAAAGAUUUAUCGACUUUGGAUGGGCCCGCGUUGGAUUAGCUAGUUGGUAGGGUAAAAGCCUACCAAGGCGACGAUCCAUAACUGGUCUGAGAGGAUGAUCAGCCACACUGGGACUGAGCCACGGCCCAGACUCCUACGGGAGGGAGCAGUGGGGAAUAUUGGAAAGUGGGCGAAAGGCUGAUCCAGCAAUGCCGCGUGAGCGAUGAAGGCCUUAGGGUUGUAAAGCUCUUUUAACCGGGAUGAUAAUGACAGUACCGGGAGAAUAAGCCCCGGCUAACUACGUG
rnacentral:rRNA from 1 species